AUGCUGCGUGGAGGAAAAGAGGAAACCAGAUGAAUGAUGAUGAGUGAAUUUUAAGAGAAAAGUCAGACAGAAGGAAAGUGAACAGCUGAAGACAUGAAAAGGGAGAAAGAGGGAGAAUGACAUGCAGCAACGGGCCGCAGGGCGGAGUCGAACCUGCGGCCGCUGCAUCGAGGAGUGAGCCUCUACAUGUGGGCGCCUGCCCUACCAGGUGAGCUACCCAGGCGCCCAAAUCCUUUGUUAUUUUUGAAAAUAGAUUAAUUUAAUCUGGUCAAACCGAGCAGUAAAAAUCCGUGCUUUUAAUGGGCUUCCUGUGUGUUGUUAACCUUAUGUGUAGGCCUAUACGUGCGAGUUUAAAGCAGCUACAUUUUUAAAGUAAAAGUCUACCUGCGCAGGUUUUAACUGUGCCAAACAAAUGAAAGAGAGGGAUUACACUUACUGUGUGUUUGUGUUUUGCUUUGUUCAGGAGAAGCACUCAACUCAUUCUUAAUCAGGAAACGUUUAAGCAUCGGCUUUUUAAUAUCAUCCAGCUGACAAUAUUUAUUAUAUAUUUCAUGUUCGUUGAGACACAUUUUUUCAAACCAGCAACAUAAUCUUUUGUGUGUUUGCAGAUGUGUUGACAGCGUGGAGAAAUUGAAUUAGCAGCUGCAGCGCUGGGAACAUUGAAUCAUAUUAGGAGCGCAGCAGAGGAGCAGAGGCUACCUGCAGGCCGGAGGGAGAGGCUUUUUACCCCUCUGCUUUCAUUCAGUCAGAGGGAGAGCUCACACAACGCGGAGGACAAGAUCAGAUCUGAAAUCCUUCAACAUGACAGAAAACAUAAUGACAUCCACGGAAUAUUCACAACUUCUCAUCAAGACUAGAAAGACAAAACCAUGGGGUGAACAAGUCUUUAGUUUCAUAGUUAUGUCAUAUUUUAGUGUUUGAUUAUUGCCAAAACCGCAGUAUAAUCAGUAUAAUAACAUUUAUAAUUCUAAACGCCGAGACAUGAAUUUACUUAAAGAUAUGAAAAAUAAUUUUUAACAAGUUUCAAAUCAGCCUAUGUUGAGAUUAAAUAUGAUUGCAAAAUCGAAGAUAAUAUUUUUCUUUGAGAUCUAAUUAUUUGCGGCUUCAAGACGCAGUGAAAAUAAAUAAAAUAUCUGCUAAUAUGUUCUUGUGCAGUAAUGUCACAUAAUUUCGUCGCGAGUUGAAUAUAGGCUAGACAUGAGUGCAGUCUGACGUCAUCGCAAUGCAAAUAACCGUGCCCCCUUUAAAUAGUCAACUGUCAUAUGUCUUCUAUCAGAUUAUGUUGCACACGAAUGAUGUAUGUAUAUGAAUUUAUCAUGUUUGUUAAUUUAAAAUGAAAGUGAGCCUAUACAUGUAGUAAACUGAGUUCAGGUAAGUCGAUCCGUGCUUCCUCUUCUGUACAGGUAAGUGCUUUAUUAGGCCUUGUAAAAUCACAUAAAUCUAAAACAGCACUGAGAAUGGACACUGAUUAAUGUGUUUCUUGAAGGAUAAAUAUGGAGGAUGAAACUGAAGCUGAUCCAGAAAAACUCUGUUGGUGUUCCUGAUUCAAAUCAUAUCUCAUUCCAAUCUGACAGCAGCACGCUGCAGCUCAGAUCAGUGAGCACAUCUCAGGCUUUGUCUUGGACAUUUUACACUGCACAGGUCUUGACACACUGAUGGUGAGUUUUAGUGGUAACAAAGCUGUCUCUGUGCCAGUGGCUUGCAACUUGUGGUUCAAGGACCUCCUGAUGGUGCCUAUACAGAGGUGUAGAAAAAAGGGGCAUGAGUUUAGUUUCAGCAUCAUUUAACCCACCAGAAAUGAUCUUGAUGAGAGUAAAGUCUGAUAAUUAACCAUACCUAUUUCAAGUUUUAGAUGGGUGUACAAUUUAAUAAUGAUUCAAAGAUGAAAAUGUUCAUUCACAGUUAUAAUUGGAUCUAUCUGCAGUCUAAUGGGGGGGGGUUUAGGAUCUAUAACAUGGGCCUAAAAAUGGCCUUGUGCCAGUUUGUGUAAGUUUCCUGCAGCAGCUGAUCAGCAACUAUCACAUUGAAAUCAUGUGAUGAAAAACAGCAAAUCUUUAUGACAUACCUCUCUGAAUUUGAUUGUAAUCAUUCUAAAUAAUAAAGUGCUCCUUUGGGUUUUUCAGUGAAUGUAAUAUUAUUUAUUUCAUUUAAAAUUAACUUAACUACUCUAACCUUCUCACACCAUGUAUGCCAUACAACCCAUGUUGCAGUUCAAUAUUAAACAUUUUCAGGGACUAAAUCUGAUGAAAUGUAUUUGAGGUCCAGGCCAUGCAAACCAAAUUGAGUCCCUCCUGGAGCAUUGUGUUUUCUAAGUCUUUCCAUUCACAGGGCAGACGUGGUGGUGUUUAAGGAUUCAAUGUGCAGACGGUGUGAUGGUGGAACAUGCAGGAAUCAUUCAAGGUCCCACACACAGUGAACAGUGAGUUGCCCAGAAAACUAAUUACCUAAAGUGUCUGGUGUAGUUGAGCUGUGAAGUGAGGAGUCCAUGCAUGGUCAUUGGCUCCUCUUUUCCAUGUUAACACUUUAGCUGCUUGUCUUUUUGUUUUUAAUUUUUGUUUUUUAAAGAUUAUUUAUUGGGCUAUUUUUAUUUCAUUAGAUAGUGAUAGUAGACAGACAGGUAAGGGGGGGGGGGGGGGACAACACGCAGCAAUGGGCCACAGGACCCAACCCUAACCCAAGAACUCAGCCUACAUGGGGCACACGCUCUACCAGGUGAGCUACAGGUCGCUCCAGCAUGUCUAUCUCAUUCUUUCUUUUUGCAAGACAAAUGACUUGGAUUUUUUGAAAUGAUUUUUACGAAGCGCUUAUUUCCACAAAUUUCUCAAAAAUAAUUUUGAAAUCACCAUUUUUACACAUCUAUAAAAAAUUGAAAAGAAAAAAACAGUAAAUGUUAAUCCCCAUAGAAUUGUUUAUUUUAACAGCCACCUCUACAUCCAUCAGAAGACACUCCUUAACUUCUAAAUCAACCAGGUGGUUUUUCCUCAACCCAUGUGUUCUCUCUCUGUGAAUGCUACAAUUCUCUUUAUUUUGGCAAAUCUCUAAUAGUGAAUGAGUGAACAUUUAUGUAGACAUUUGUAAGCUAUUAUAGCUAUUACUGUCUGCUCCUAGAACCAACUGAUUUCCCCAUGUUGAGCAAUUUACCUUAAUAUGUACAAUAAAAUCCACAAAUAAUGGUACAAUUGCACCAUAUUCUGGAUUGUAAAAAUGAAAUCAUAAUGAGACAAUUUUUUAAAUUGCAUGAUUUCUGAUUACUGGCAUGAUUUUUAUUGGCAAAUUAAUCUAUAGUCCCAGUCUUCUCAGUGAGUUUGCACAGCCCAUUGUUGUCAGCAGUCAUAACCAAAUGUAAUUUGCUGUUGAAAAAUAGAACUGCUGUGAUGUUCCUGCUAAUUUGCAUUUGGAUGUUUUUACUUCAGCACCGCUGGUCUCUGCAGAAAGAAGAGUGGUCAUGCUGUGUAUGAGGGCCACUGAGAUCUCACAGUUUGGAUAAGAUUAGCAAGCAGCAUAAUUUUAUGCAUCAGCAUCAACUGUUGGCACUUGCUUUAAAAACAACAACAAAUGAGCAUAUUCCCUUAGGUCCAAACACACGGGGAGGUAUUUCUGCUGGUUUCUUCUGAGAAAGGAAGGUAGCAGCAGGUCUGGAAAGUUCACAGACCUUUGAAAACUAAAGAUUGUUACAAACAAAUGUACCUGGUCAAGUUAAUGAUAACUUAAAAAACCUACAAACACAAAUGCGUAUUAUAAGAAAGUACCAGUCUUACUGUUCACUGGCAGGCUGCUGACCUGCUGUCACUUAACACAGCCAAGGCUGUUACCAUGGAGCCCACUAUCUUUCAGCAUAGUAAAUGUGAACAUGUAUGCUAAGCUGCUAGCAUCAGCAUUAGUGUAUGCUAAGCUGAUAGCUGAUGCUAUAAGUCAGAGUUCAGAUGUUUCCAUUUAAAAUACCCAACCUCUGGAUCCGUUCUUGCUAAUGCUAAUUUACAAUUUAA